GAUGAACGCUAGCUACAGGCUUAACACAUGCAAGUCGAGCGAAGCGAUUUAGCGGAAGUUUUCGGAUGGAAGUUAAAUUGACUGAGUGGCGGACGGGUGAGUAACGCGUGGGUAACCUGCCUCAUACAGGGGGAUAACAGUUAGAAAUGACUGCUAAUACCGCAUAAGACCACAGCACCGCAUGGUGCAGGGGUAAAAACUCCGGUGGUAUGAGAUGGACCCGCGUCUGAUUAGCUGGUUGGUGGGGUAACGGCCUACCAAGGCGACGAUCAGUAGCCGACCUGAGAGGGUGACCGGCCACAUUGGGACUGAGACACGGCCCAA
rnacentral:rRNA from 1 species